UACGUAGGGUGCAAGCGUUUAUCCGGAAUUAUUGGGCGUAAAGAGCUCGUAGGCGGUUUGUCGCGUCUGCUGUGAAAACUGGGGGCUCAACCCCCAGCCUGCAGUGGGUACGGGCAGACUAGAGUGCGGUAGGGGAGAUUGGAAUUCCUGGUGUAGCGGUGGAAUGCGCAGAUAUCAGGAAGAACACCGAUGGCGAAGGCAGUUCUCUGGGCCGUAACUGACGCUGAGGAGCGAAAGCGUGGGGAGCGAACAGG
rnacentral:rRNA from 1 species